AUGGAGGUGGUUCUAGGUUGCAAAGAUUUUGAAGAUUCUUGGGCAGCAAGAACAUGUUGGGAAAGGAGUAGAAGAAUACUCAGCUACGGAUAUGGAUGGCAUUAGUGAAGAUUGGUCGACUUAUGCGGUUAACUCUAUUUUUAAGUUAUAAAUCGUAUUUUUGGUGUUGAGGAUGUAUUGACAAACAAUUCUUUUUUUUUUUGUUAACGUUAAAAUAUUUGUAGUAUACUUGGCAAAUGAUUAUGUA
rnacentral:lncRNA from 1 species